rnacentral:rRNA from 1 species
GAGUUUGAUCGUGGCUCAGAUUGAACGCUGGCGGCAUGCCUUACACAUGCAAGUCGAACGGUAACAGGUCUUCGGAUGCUGGCGAGUGGCGAACGGGUGAGUAAUACAUCGGAACGUGCCCAGACGUGGGGGGAUAACGAGGCGAAAGCUUUGCUAAUACCGCAUACGAUCUAAGGAUGAAAGCAGGGGACCGCAAGGCCUUGCGCGUUUGGAGCGGCCGAUGGCAGAUUAGGUAGUUGGUGGGAUAAAAGCUUACCAAGCCGACGAUCUGUAGCUGGUCUGAGAGGACGACCAGCCACACUGGGACUGAGACACGGCCCAGACUCCUACGGGAGGCAGCAGUGGGGAAUUUUGGACAAUGAGCGAAAGCCUGAUCCAGCAAUGCCGCGUGCAGGAUGAAGGCCUUCGGUU